AAAGACACUGGCAAACAUACUGCUGCCUAGCUUUCGGAUUUAUCCACAUUCCACUAUAACGCAAACUGCAUACUGUCAAAAUGCUUUAGCUUAAAUUACAAAAAUAU